rnacentral:rRNA from 1 species
CCUACGGGGUGCUGCAGUGGGGAAUAUUGGACAAUGGGCGAAAGCCUGAUCCAGCCAUGCCGCGUGUGUGAAGAAGGCCUUCGGGUUGUAAAGCACUUUCAGUGGGGAAGAAAGCCUUGGGGCUAAUACCCUCGAGGAAGGACAUCACCCACAGAAGAAGCACCGGCUAACUCCGUGCCAGCAGCCGCGGUAAUACGGAGGGUGCGAGCGUUAAUCGGAAUUACUGGGCGUAAAGCGCGCGUAGGCGGUCUGAUAAGCCGGUUGUGAAAGCCCCGGGCUCAACCUGGGAACGGCAUCCGGAACUGUCAGGCUAGAGUGCGGGAGAGGAAGGUAGAAUUCCCGGUGUAGCGGUGAAAUGCGUAGAGAUCGGGAGGAAUACCAGUGGCGAAGGCGGCCUUCUGGACUGACACUGACGCUGAGGUGCGAAAGCGUGGGUAGCAAACAGGAUUAGAUACCCUUGUAGUC